GCUCCCUGGGAGGCUGUUAACUGAUGACAAACUUCACUAGGCUUUUCAGGGGUUUUACAUUGAGGCUUUUACUUUCUACUGCACAGAGUCCUAUUGUUCAGCAGAUGUCUCACGUCCUUGAGACCCCCUGGCCUCCACCAAUAGCUCUCCUGGUUUCCCAGGUGUGUCGUCUGCUGGACCAUACAUCAAGGUUUGGUGAAAACCUGUUAUGGAAUGAGACAAAGUUCCUCCAGAGCUGUUCUUCUGCUUUCCAUGUCUGCACUGUGGAGCAGACGUUGGCCGUGAAGGAGCUCUCUCCUGACGCCAUCUUGCAGACUCUAAACAUAAACAUCAUUAUGAUUAUAGAAUUGCUAUUAAUAAAUCUUGUCACAGAGGCCGGCCUGGUGGCACAGUAGACUGUCUUUGAUGCAUGCUGCUUUUCUGAAGAAAAUGGUUUCGUGUGUUUAAUGAACUUCCUUCUAGUGAUCUUCACCUCCUUUGGUUACAAUUUUUUCCUGCUUCCAUUUGUCACUAACAGUUAAUCAUAACUUUUGAACCACAAAAAGAAUAGUGUACUACUUCUUUAUUUUUUCUUAUUAUUUUGACAUGGGUUAUUAGGUCUGUCACUUAGACAAUGAGAA
rnacentral:lncRNA from 1 species